rnacentral:lncRNA from 1 species
AGUCUGCCGCUGCAAAUACCAAAAGCUGUCCUCAUUGAGUCAUCCCUCCCAGAGCAGGAAGAGCAGAGGUUCUGGGAAACAACCCCAAGGAGAGAGACAGGGCAUUUAUAAAACAGCAUGUAAGCAUCUCUGCAGUUGCUGUCCCCAGAGCCCACUUCCUGGAUAUUGCCAGCUGCCUGGACCAACCUUUCCGAAAGAUCAGCCAGGUCACAGUGAGGGUCAAAGGUGAGGCAACACCCGGCCUGCUUCAGCUUGCCCCCCGUGGGCUGCACCCACUGUCCAACCAGUCCCAAUGAGAUGAACCAGCAGGAGGCCACUGGAGGCUCCAAGGGCUCUGAAAUGUUGAGAACUUCCCUGCAGGUACCAGCGAAGAGGGCAAGAACACAGCACUACUUCCUUGGAUACUGUUUCCCUCCUCAGAGGGGUUUUCUGAGCUGCCCUGGGUCCUGUGAGGAAGAUCUCCCCUUCCUGUAAAGACACCAGUCCUACUGGAUCAGGGCCCACCCGUGUGACUUCACUUUUACUUGAGUACCUCUCACAGACCCUAACUCCAAAUCAGGUCACUUGCUGAGGUACUGCAUGUGAAGACUUUGACAUUUGAAUUUUGAGGGGGCCACCGUUUAACCUGAACCACCAAGGACAGAGCCAAAGACCCUGGGUGACAGGCCCAGAACAGGACCUGGUGGAGGCUCUUCUUUAGGGGAGAGAGGGAAAUGGGAGCCACCACUGGCAGAGCCUGAAGGCAGGGCAGCCAGAAAGAAGCUGUGGGAGUCCCCACCAUGGAAGACCCUGCCGAGCAUCCUGUGUCUCCUGAAGCAGACCCUGACAUGAGGACUGGGGGCACGUGUUUAUUAAGGGCGAUCCCCGGAAGGAGGAGAUAACCAGGCAGAAGUCCUAGCAGAGUAUGCCCACGCUGGUUAGUGCUGCUGCAAAGAUGAGCCGAAGACCAUGAGAGACCUCCAGGUGGUCCUUCUGGGGAGAAGAAAUGGGUUUUGGCCCCAAAUCCUUCUGCUGCAUUUUUCCCCUAUCCCUGGGAAGCCAUGAGACCUCAAACCUGUGUUCCCAAGGAGGCGAGCUGCUGUUCCCAGGUGAUGAUAUGAUGUGCUUGGGGAAAGUAAGUGGCUGCCAGACAUGGCUGAGAGCUGUUGUCACUGCCGUCAAGUGCAUGUCUCCAAGCCAUAUCACACGGCGUCCCUCGAUGUGAGGCCACAUGGCAAGUGGGCCGUGGAUCUCCCUCUGCCCUUUGCAAGCACGUAAGACAGCAGAUUUUGCAGAUACCUUGUGGCGCAGGGGAAUUUCCUUUGGCCAGGUCUGAAGAAAUAAAGCAGCAGGCACCGAGAACAAAGCCAAGGCUUUCAAAAGACAAGGAGCCAAAAAACUUACUCAAAAUAAAAGUAGUUUUAAAAUGUC